UUUUUUUUUUUUUUUUGGCUGCUCCUGUGGCAUAGGGAAGUUUCCUUUCACUUAGUGUAAUAUUUCCUGUUCCAUCCACGUUGUGACACACAUCAGUACCCUCUUCUUUUUCAUGGCUGAUAAGAUUCUGUUGUAUGUAUAUACCAUGUUUUAUUUUUCCAUUAUGGGACAUUUGUACUGUUUCUGCCUUUUGGCUAUCAGUAUAAUGCUGUUAUGAAUCUUCAUGGACAAGUUUUUUUUUUUUCCAUCUUUUUAGGGCCUCACCAUCUGAGGCAUAUGGAAGUUCCUAGGCUAGGGGUCAAAUCAGAUCUACAGCUGCCGGCCUACACCACAGCUCAUGGCAACACUGGAUCCUUAGCCCAGUGAGCAAGGUCAGAGAUCAAACCCGCAUCCUCAUGGAUACUUUCUGCUGAGCCACAGUGGGAACUCCAUGGACAAGAUUUUGUGUGGACAUACAUUUUCAUUUUUCUUAGGUGGAUACCUAGGAGUGGAUUGCAGGGUCAAAUGGUAACUCUGUGUUUAACUUUUUUGAGGAACUGUCAGAGUGUUUUCUAAAGUGGUUAUACCAUUUUACAUUUCUUCCAGGAUUAUAUGAAGGUCCCUAUUUCUCUAGAUCAUCCUUGUCACUGCUUGUUAUUAUCUAACUUUAAUGAUAGCUAUUCUAGGAGUAUAAGGUGAUACUUCGCUGUAGUUUUUGAUUUGCAUUUCCUUGAUGACAUGAUGUUGAGCUUUUCAUACUUUUUGGCCAUUUGCAGCUCUUCUUGGAAAAUGGGCUGUUCAAGUUUUUUGUCCAUUAAAAAUUUUGCUUGUUUGUCUUUAUAUUGUUGAGUUGUAAGGGUUUCUUUAUAUAUUGUGGAUCCGAGUUUUUUUUAUUAGAUAUGAUUUGCAAAUAUUUUCCCCCAGUCUCUGGUCUUCCUGAUUUUUUUUUCUUGCUUUCCUGAUGUUGUCUUUUUUUUUUUGUCUGGGAGCCUCCAUAUGGUGCGAGUGUAGCCCUGGAAAAGACAAAAAAAAAAAAGGGGGGGGGGAAUAUAAAUGAAAUCUCCCUCUUAGUCUGACACAAAAUAUAGCAUACUAUUCACCUCUUUUGUACUUUGAUUUUUUUUCCUCCUUAGUUAUACCUUUAAGAUGAUUUCAUAUCAGUAUUAGAGAUGGUUCUUAAUUCUUUUACCAGGCAUAGGAUAUUCCACUGCAUAUCUCAUAGUUGAUUUAACCAAUUUCCUUUUGAUGAAUAUUUGGAUUUUUCAGUCUUUUGCUAUUACAAAUAGUGCUAUUAUAGCUUUGAACAGUGAUCUUUCUUUUUCUUCAUUUGAUUGACAUUUCUUUGAGAUGGAAGUAGGGUGCAAACGGCAAAUGCAAAUUUUGCCAAUUCUCUUCUACAGAGAUUGUUCCAUUUUGCAUUGCCAUCAGCCAUGGAAGAGAGUUUCUGUCUCUCCAUAGCCUUAUCUUCAGUGUGGUUUGUUAAGUUUAUAGUUUUUGUUUAUCUGUAUGUGACAAAUGAUAUCUCCCUGUGGCUUAAAAAUUAAAAAAAAAUUAAAUACAAUUAAAAAAAAAUCUUUUCAGGGCCACACUCAUGGCAUAUGGAGGUUCCCAGUCUAAGGGUUGAAUCAGAGCUAUAGGGGCUGGGCUACACCACAGCUCACAGCAAUGCUGGAUCCUUAACCCACUGAGUGAGGCUAAGGAUUGAACCUGCAUCCUCCUGGAUGCUAGUCAGAUUCGUUUCUGAUGAGCUACAAUGGGAACUCCUUGAAUACAAUUUUUAAAGGUUACUUUCCAUUUAUAGUUACUAUAAUAUUGGCUAUAUUCCCCGUGUUGUAUGAUACUUCCUUGUAUCCUACACCUAAUAGCUGUAUCUCCCACUCUCCCACCCCUGUAAUGUGCUGCCCCCCCAAAAAAACUGAUAACCACUAGUUUGUUCUCUGGAUAUGUGAGUUUGCUUCUUUUAUGUUAUAGUCACUAGUUUGUUGUAUUUUUUUUUUGAAAAAAAAUUUUUUUAUAGUUUGUUGUAUUUUUUAGUUU
rnacentral:lncRNA from 1 species